rnacentral:rRNA from 1 species
CGGACGGGUGAGUAAUGUCUGGGAAACUGCCCGAUGGAGGGGGGUAACUACUGGAAACGGUAGCUAAUACCGCAUAACGUCGCAAGACCAAAGAGGGGGACCUUCGGGCCUCUUGCCAUCGGAUGUGCCCAGAUGGGAUUAGCCAGUAGGUGGGGUAACGGCUCACCUAGGCGACGAUCCCUAGCUGGUCUGAGAGGAUGACCAGCCACACUGGAACUGAGACACGGUCCAG